CCUACGGGUGGCAGCAGUGAGGAAUAUUGGUCAAUGGACGAGAGUCUGAACCAGCCAAGUAGCGUGAAGGAUGACUGCCCUAUGGGUUGUAAACUUCUUUUAUAAAGGAAUAAAACGAGGCACGUGUGCCUUUUUGCAUGUACUUUAUGAAUAAGGAUCGGCUAACUCCGUGCCAGCAGCCGCGGUAAUACGGAGGAUCCGAGCGUUAUCCGGAUUUAUUGGGUUUAAAGGGAGCGUAGAUGGGUUGUUAAGUCAGUGGUGAAAGUUUGCGGCUCAACCGUAAAAUUGCAAUUGAUACUGGCAGUCUUGAGUACAGUUGAGGUAAGCGGAAUUCGCGGUGUAGCGGUGAAAUGCUUAGAUAUCACGAAGAACCCCGAUUGCGAAGGCAGCUUACUAAACUGUGACUGACAUUGAUGCGCGAAAGUGUGGGGAUCAAACAGGAUUAGAUACCCGUGUAGUC
rnacentral:rRNA from 1 species